rnacentral:lncRNA from 1 species
GUUCUCUCUGAAUUAGAGGUAGACUUCAUUUCCCCAAACCACACAGCUGAGGAAUGUGGGGUCCUAGGUAGUUGUAAGAGGGCCAGGGAUGCUGAGAUGGUAACUAAUAAAUACCUGUCACAGACACAUAACACGUGGGCAUGGCCUUUCCUGUGUGUCCCACAAGGUUAGGUGAGGGGUUCUUUCAAACCUUGGAUGGGCUAUGUAUGAACAUGUGUACUCAAGGGAAUCAGCCUUUGCUCCUUAGGCUCAGACCUAUAUUUUCAAGAAAAGAGCAAAUGAAACUCCCUUUUAGGCCUCAGUCUUUCUUUCUUGGCUCAGCACACAUGAUGGUAUGGAGGGUUUCAAUUUGCAUCCUAAAGUAGUUGUGUUGGUGGCCUGGAAGUCUGACUUUAGGACUAUCUUGAGCAUCUAACACAGGUGGUAAUAAACACAAAAUGUGACCCAGAACCCUUCUCCAAAGCUGGAUGCUAUUCUCCAUGAGAAACAGGCAGCGAGGGGAUAGAUACACUUCUAACAUGUAUGUGAUCCCAGAUCUGCAUUGUCUUUUAUAUAAAAACACAGCAUUCUGGGAGUGGUGGUGCACACCUGUAAUCCCAGUGGCUCAAGAGGCUGAGCAAGGAGGAUCAAAAAUUCAAAGUCAGCUUCAGCAACUUAGCGAGAUCCUGUCUCAAAAAAAAAAAAAAAAAGCGGGGUGGGGGUCGGGAAUAUGGUUCAGUGAUUAAGUGCCCCAAGUUCAAUCCCUGGUACCAAAAACAACAGCAACAAAACCCCCCAGUAUUCCAGUGGCAUCUGCUCACACCAUGUCUGCUUUUGUGUAUGUGUGUGUGGGGGGAGUGUGUAUAUAUGCAUACCUGCUGAAGUCUGGGGCUCUUAGGCAUGCCUGAUUUGAAAAUCUGAGAAAUGUUGGCUCACUACAGUGUUAUAAAUCAUAGUAGUCUUGGUUCAAGGGUAUUUUAAAAUGGUGCUCUUAGAAUACAAGUCAAGUUCUAGUUCAGCCUUCCUUGCCAAAGGGUAUGAGAGGAUUCUUUCUGCUUCCCCUCUGAGACCUUUGGGCUACACUGAGGAAAUGUGGGCUUAGAUAAAACUUUCACGGAAAUCAUCAAAUAGCUUAUAAUUCCAGUAUCUUGAAGAUUUGAGAGUUAAAUUAUAUCAUAGGGCUACACAACUAGAGGAGGUAGCAGAUUGAGAUGCCAAUGUUCCAGACUUCACUGGGAAGGAGAAAACUCACCAACCAAUCAACCACUAUUUUUAGGGGAAUAGUGAGUGAUAUGGGCAGGUGCUGCUUUAUCAGCACUCAGGUGUGAUACCCUUGGGCUUACAUUUUGAGAUCAUCCAGUUUGUCAAAGAAGUCUGAAAUUUUGAUUGUUUUGUAUAAUCUGAUUUUCAAAUAUCAACAGCUCCAGGGUACCAUUUUGCAGUCUGAUUUGCAAUAUAACUGUGGGUUCCUAUUGGAAGGCUGAUUAUAAAAAAUACUUCCUAUUUAAAAUUGUAUUUCUGGGCCGGGGUUGUAAAGCAGUAGAGCGCUCACCUAGCUUGUGCAAGGCCUUGGGUUCGAUUCUCAGCACCGCAUAAAAAUAAAUAAAUUAAUUAAAUAAAGGUAUUGUGUAAUAUAAAAAAUUGUAUUUCUUUAAAGUUUAAAAAAUUAUAAAAUGCAUAUAACAAAAUCUAACUUCUUAUCCAUUUUUUAAAUGUACAACUCAGAAAUAUUUAGAAUGUGUGCAACAAAUCUCCAAACUAUUUCCAUCUUGGAAAACUAAAACUCUGCUAACAUUGGACAGUAACUCCCAGUUCCUCCUCCUGCUGCACCUGGCAACUUCUCUUCUACUUUCUGUCUCUAUGAAUUCAACUACUCCAGAGCCUUAAAAAAAAUCAUAUAGUGUUUUUUUGUGACUGGCUUAUUUCACUUGGCAUUAUGUCUGUCCGUGUUGUAGCAUGUAUGAGAAUUUCCUUCCUUUUUAAGGCUGAAUAAUUUCUAUUGCAUGUAUAGACCAUAUUUUGUUUAUCCCUUUGUCUGUUUGGGGUUUGGGUGGCACUGGGGAUAGAAUCCAUGUCCUCUACUGUUCCAAGCAUGCACUCAACCACUUAGCUGCCUUCCCAGCCCUAGCCCUUUGUAGGUUGAUAGACACUUUGGUUGCUUUCAACUUUUUCCUAUUGUGAAUACUGCUGCCUGGAAGAUGAGUGUACAAAAUUAUAUUCCUUUUCUCUGCCUCUGUCUUUCUUUGUUUCACUCUAUGUUGCCCAUGGUGGUCUCCAACUGCUGGGCUCCAGGGAUUCUCUUGCCUCAGUUCCCUGAAUAGCUAAGGCUACAAGCAUACAUCACUGCACCUGGCUAAAAUUUCUAUAAAGUUGUUGUGUCAUUAGCUUUUCCUCUAUGAGACCUCCUUAACCUGACUACAAAUUUUCUCAAGUAGGGACUGUAAAAUGAUGUAUUUUUAAAAAAAAAUUUUACAUGUUGAUGAUCUUCAUUUUAUUCAUUUAUUUAUAUGUUGUGCUGAAAAUCGAACCCAGUGCCUCAUGCAUGCUAGGCAAGCACUGAACCACAACCCCAGCCCUCAAAUGAUGUAUUUGAAAGAGCUUCAUUAAUAUAAAAUUCGAAAUAAAUGUUGAUGAUUGCAAUCUCCUUUGCAGAAGAAUUCCAAAUAACUUAUGUGGAUAUUCCCCCCUCAAGGAGAUGUAGUGUGAUCCCCAUUUCCUUAAGAGUGGGAUUCACAUGAUGGCUUUGUUUUUAAAAAAUCAAACAGGAGGAUAAGGGAGUAACUUUACACAGAGUAACUCGAUAAACUUUUGGCCUAAGCUAGGUGAUGGAGGUCAACAUCAGCAGUGGUAACUCGUGUUAAUAGUAUAUACCUUUGAUGUGAUGUCAUAAGAAUAGCAUUUUAUCUCUGUGGCCCCCUCCAACCUAUAACCUCUGUCUGACCAUGAGAAAAAUACUGCCCAUACCCAAAGAAAAGGACAAAAUACUUGAUGACCUUAUAACUAUUGAGGUCAUUAAACAAACAAACAAAAAAUAGCACUCUCAGAGACGGUCACAGUCCAGAGGCAUCUAAGGGACAUAUCCUGGAUGAGAUUCAGGAACAGAUGGAGGACAGUAAGUAAAACUAAGGAGAUUAAAAAAAAAAAAAAAUCUGGGGCUGGAAUUGUAGCUCAGUGGUAGAGUGCUUACUAGCAUAUGUGAGAUACUGAGUUCAAUUCUCAGCACCACAUAUAAAUAAAAAGAAGGUCCAUCAAAAACUAAAAAAAAAAUUUUUUAAAAAAAAUCUGUGGAAUCUAGUAAAGUACCAAUCAAUGUUGGUUUCUUAGUUACAAAAAUGUACCAUUGUAAUAUUCACACAGGGGAAAACUGAGUGCAGGGUACACUGGAACUCUCUCUAAUACUCUUGAAACUUUUCUUUGCAUCUGAAAUUACUCAAAAAGUUCAUUUUAAAAGAACAAUGUGGGCCAGGGAUGUAGUACAGUAGGUAGAGAACUUGCCUAGAAUGUGCUGAGACUUAGGUUCAAUCUCCAGCACCAAGGUGUGUUUGUGUCCGGAGGGGGUGGCCCUGCAAGUUGAAAAAAGUUCAUGAUUAUUUUUACUAUUAUUAUUUAAAAAGACUUUGUAUCCCAUGAAUACCAUGCAUGGAACCAUUUCACCUCUCCACCUGUGUUUUUUGGGAAUAAGGUUUUUAUUUAUUAUUUCUCCUUGAGUUCUUAACCAUAUUGUAGACAAUUAAUGUUACUUAUAUUAAUAAGCAGGCUCUUUGUUGUAUUAGCCGAACAAAUUAAUAUGAAUACUCUGGAAAUUCAAGGAGUUUGUUCCCUGUGCUGGGAAAUUGAAGUAACAGAAACAACUUUGGCAGGACUCUAGGAAAAUAGAACAAAGCCCCAAGGUUUAGUUAUAGACAUCAAACCAAUGUAAACAACUGUGACAUUUUAAAAAAUCCACAUUAUUUUAGGGGAAUAGAAAGAAAUUAGCAGUCAGUACUCUGAAUUAAAAAAAAAUUUAAUACAAUAAUUUUAUGUAUUUAUUUUUAUGUGGUGCUGAGGAUCGAACCCAGUGCCUCACAUGUGCCAGGUGAGUGCUCUACCAUUGAGCCACAACCCUAGCCCAGUACUCUGAAUUUUAAAAAAUGAUUGGUAAU